ensembl:lncRNA
CCUACCAAAUGACCUAAAUCCCUCCUUUUUUUUUUUCUUACCUUUGAUCCUGCCCCUAAACAUCCUACAGUAAAUCCUGUACAAUCCCAACUGUCCUUCCCUGCAUCCCAUAAUGUGUCUCAUGCCAAGGCAGCAACUGUCUGAAGUCCAAGUUGUUUCAGAGAACUGCUCCCAGUGUCUCACAGUGGUGAGUUUCACAACUGGAUGCCAGGGCUCUGGAUCUGCUGGCACAACCCUGGGAGGGUCCCAGACAGAAUGCCCCUUCCUAGUGGCCCAUAGUAGUUCUUGUUUAACAUCACGUCUAGUGGAUUAUCAACUGCUUUAUAGAAGAGUGAACUAAAUAUGCGUAAUGGAUCCACUGAGUCAAGAGAAAGGUCCAUUGCACUUAGUCAUAGCAUUUCCAG